rnacentral:rRNA from 1 species
UACGGGGGGAGCAAGCGUUGUUCGGAUUUACUGGGCGUAAAGGGCGCGUAGGCGGUCGUGACAAGUCACUUGUGAAAUCUCCGGGCUUAACUCGGAACGGUCAAGUGAUACUGUCGGACUAGAGUACAGAAGGGGCAACUGGAAUUCCCGGUGUAGAGGUGAAAUUCGUAGAUAUCAGGAGGAACACCGGUGGCGAAGGCGGUUCUCUGGGCAUUACCUGACGCUGAGGAGCGAAAGUGUGGGGAGCGAACAGG